GCCUACGGGGCGCAGCAGUGGGGGAUAUUGCACAAUGGGGGGAGCCCUGAUGCAGCGACGCCGCGUGGGUGAAGGAGCGUUUCGGCGCGUAAAGCCCUAUCGGCAGGGAAGAAGAUGACGGUACCUGACCAAGAAGCCCCGGCUAACUACGUGCCAGCAGCCGCGGUAAUACGUAGGGGGCAAGCGUUAUCCGGAUUUAUUGGGUUUAAAGGGUGCGCAGGCGGCGUGUCAAGUCAGCGGUAAAAUGUCGGGGCUCAACCCCGGCCGGCCGUUGAAACUGGCGUGCUCGAGUUGGAGAG
rnacentral:rRNA from 1 species